rnacentral:rRNA from 1 species
AUUGAACGCUGGCGGCAGGCCUAACACAUGCAAGUCGAGCGGAUGAAGGGAGCUUGCUCCUGGAUUCAGCGGCGGACGGGUGAGUAAUGCCUAGGAAUCUGCCUGGUAGUGGGGGAUAACGUCCGGAAACGGGCGCUAAUACCGCAUACGUCCUGAGGGAGAAAGUGGGGGAUCUUCGGACCUCACGCUAUCAGAUGAGCCUAGGUCGGAUUAACUAGUUGGUGGGGUAAAGGCCUACCAAGGCGACGAUCCGUAACUGGUCUGAGAGGAUGAUCAGUCACACUGGAACUGAGACACGGUCAAGACGACUACGGGAGGCAGCAGUGGGGAAUAUGGGACAAUGGGCGAAAGCAUGAUCCAGCCAUGCCGCGUGUGUGAAGAAGGUCUUCGGAUUGUAAAGAACUUUAAGUUGGGAGGAAGGGCAGUAAGUUAAUACCUUGCUGUUUUGACGUUACCAACAGAAUAAGCACCGGCUAACUUCGUG